AUUGAACGCUGGCGGAAUGCUUUACACAUGCAAGUCGAACGAUGAACCUUAGCUUGCUAAGGGGAUUAGUGGCGAACGGGUGAGUAAUGUAUCGGAACGUAUCCAAUAAUGGGGGAUAACUAGUCGAAAGAUUAGCUAAUACCGCAUACGUCCUACGGGAGAAAGCUAGGGACCUUCGGGCCUGGCGUUAAUGGAGCGGCCGAUAUCUGAUUAGCUAGUUGGUGGUGUAAAGGCUCACCAAGGCGACGAUCAGUAGCUGGUCUGAGAGGACGACCAGCCACACUGGAACUGAGACACGGUCCAGACUCCUACGGGAGGCAGCAGUGGGGAAUUUAGGACAAUGGGCGAAAGCCUGAUCCAGCCAUUCCGCGUGAGUGAAGAAGGCCUUCGGGUUGUAAAGCUCUUUCGCAAGGGAAGAAAACUUAAGCUCUAACAUAGCUUGAGGUUGACGGUACCUUGAUAAGAAGCACCGGCUAACUACGUGCCAGCCGCCGCCGUAA
rnacentral:rRNA from 1 species